AUGAUUGCUUGCUUAUGCAUAUUAUAUAUUUAUGCAUGUUAAUAUGUAUGUAUGUAGUUGAAUCUGAAGAUUCAACUUACAUUUUAUAGGAAUAAAAAAUACUUAGAAAAUACUUGUCUCGCCAAUGAAUAGAUUUUGGAACAUAUAGUUCAUCUCCCCGUCUGCUACAGAUGAUUAAAGUUAUAUCCUCUAGCAGUUCAUCUAGUACUUCGUCCAUUGCAUUAUGACACUGUUCAGGACGCAAGAUGUCUGCAAAUUUUAUACAAAGAAUUUUUUGAACCCUUAAUUCUGAUGAUAAGCUCAAAAGAGAACCAAUUAGGGUAAUUACUGACAUAAUUCUUAUGUACAGGCACAUAUAGGGUAAUGCCUUCCUCUAGCUUGUUAUAAAACCAAGCAAUUUCAUUGUCGAUAGUGUCUGUUUCAUACAUUCCUACCCAGUUAACUUGGUGAUAAAAAACGUUGAGAUUAUGAUAAUCGGCUUUCUUGAAGGAGUAUGUAGGUGAACUCGGUGAUGUAAGAUUAGGUCGAAAAUUAAGACUGAUAGAGAGAGCCGGAUGAUAUUUGUCCUCUUCAACAAAUGGUAGGGUUUUAUCAACACUAAUUUCAAUAUUACUGUAACAGAGAUCCAGAAAAGUGUUAUCACAGUUGCUUGUGUUGUUUACUUGAGUGCAAUCAAGUAAAGCUAAAUCAUCUUGGAGAAUCCUUUCACAGUCCGCUCGGGGGACACUACUAGACAAAUUGAAGUCGCCUACAAGUAAUAGUUUAGCAUUUUUAAAUUUGUCAUUUAUAAAAGAGAGCAGAGUGAGUGGAUUAGUAUAGGAAUCAAAGUUUGAAAAAGGUGGCAUGUAGACACAGCCAACAAUGAUGUCAUGGGAAGCACCUUUUACGUUGACGAAGACGAGCUCAAGGUUAUGUUGAUCAAUUUGUAUUAGUUCAGCUUGAAGUGGCGUUUGACUGCGAUGAAUACUCCACCACCUCGUUCUAGACCGGACAAAACUGGAUCCCUAUCGUGCUUAAAAAUUGUGUAAGUGCUGUCGAUUAGUUCGCCAUCGUGAAUCGAUGGGUGUAACAAUGAUUCAGUAAUACAAAUGAGGUCGAUAUUACUGACGGCAGACGCUGUGAAAAAUUUAUUUAGUUUUGUUCGGAGCCCCCGCGAGUUAUGUUCGUAUAUUAUAUGUAUACAACGUUUAUUCGUGAAAAUGAAUCUUAAGACUGCUUACAAUAUGCUUAUAAAGCUUACAAGAGACCUUAAUAUCGUACAUAUGUAUUAUAUAUCGUAAUGAGAGGGAUAGUUGCCAGACUGUUAUGUUAGGCUACGAAACUCGCGUGUUUUGAUAGUACACUUGAAGAGCUUCGGGUUUCUUCCUUUUCACUGAGCGGGCGAAAAUUUUUGUUAACUAUCUGGGGUAUGCCAUGGAUAUAUUUGAUGGUUUUACUUGUGUCACCAUUCUUUUUUAAUUCAGAGUGUAAAUCAUUAGGGUGAGUCUGUUAUGCAGAGGUUAGGUCUGGUUUGAAUCUAACCUGAGAGCUCUCACUCUGGUUUAGUUUAAAGAUUUCUCGGGCAUCAGCAACUGACUGGGUCUCUAUAAGCAGAGGACGUGUACGGUUAGACAUCCAAGUCUUCGGAUUUGGAAUCCAGUUAACUUAGCAGAUAAUUCAUCCGAUAAUACAGCAGAGAGUGAUCCUUUUUCAUCUUCCAGUCGGUCGAUGCUAGUAGCUUUGGUUGACUCUGAAAUUCCAAGAGCGAUGACGUUUGACUCACGCUUCUUACGAUCAUUAAUUUCUUUUAUGAUGUCCUCAGGAGAAGAUGGUGAUGAUGAUGAGAUUUUGUAGAAGCAUACAUUUUUUCCAAUAGUUGUUAUACGGUCACUCAGACUCGUGCAUUUUUUACCGGUGAUGGCAUGUUGCUUGGCGAGCGCUUUAAUUUAUUUUUUUAACCCAGUGAUACUUUCACUAAUAGAUGAUUUAAAGUUUUCAAGAUUGUCAUAAAAUUUUUUGGCAAAUUUUUCAAAUUGUUUAUUUUUCAUCCUCCGAGUCAUCAGAAUGUCUUACACUAACCUCCAAAUCAUUGCAUUCCAGACACCUCCAUAAGAUACGAUUUACCUUGAUGUUUGUUGCUAUUGCGUCAAAUUCAGCAUUACUGAGGUUCAGACAUCUGGAAUGAAACCACUUCUGGCACAGAGAACAUCUCAAUCCUUUGGUGUUUUUCUCACGUUUUCUGAACAGCUACCACAUGUGUUGUUUACAAUAAGCUUUUUAGGUGGCAUGUUGAUAAUCAAAUUGACACAUUAACAGUAGUAUUAGUAACUAAAAAAUGUAUGUUUUCACAACACGAUAUUUUACUCUAUUAAUUUAGUCAGUCAGAGUUAAUUAAUUUACAAAAAUUAUUUUAAUUAAUAAUAAAAUAUCACGAGCGAAAAACCAUGUACGUCUACUUGGUAGCCAUAUAGCGGAAAAAAUUAUUAUUAUUGUUUUUAUAUUUCAUUUCUAUUUCUAAUUUCCUCAUUCUUUCAUUUUGCUCCAACUCCAUUUUUUUGAGUUGGAAAUUGUAUUCAAUCUUUUUCUUUUCAUUUUCAUUUUUGUUUGCUUCAACUUCUUUCAUCCAAUUGAAUUUUUCAAUUUCAAAUUGUAGCUGGUUUUCUCGAAAGCUCAUUCGUUCAGCUUCCAAUGUAGCCAGUUUAUCAAUGACAGUGUUUUGGUGUUUGGCCUAAAUUUUGUUUUGCAAACGCGCUGGCCGCAGAUGAGCCAGAUGCCAAUUCAGAAAUGUCAUGUUCUUCUUCGGGGUCUUCCACAUUAUCCACAACAUUUUCCACAGAGUCGAGCUCCAUUGCAGAGGAGCUCAUUACCACCACCUAAGCUUCCCUCUCCGUAGCAAAAAUGUCCGCUAAUUGUUUGUAAUGUGUGUGUAACUUUUAAGCACUUUAUUUGUAAUUAAGCAAAUCAUUGAUAACAAAAUAAUUCCAAAUUCGAUAUUAAAAUAUAUACAAAAUGUAUCCAUCACUGUCAGCUCCACAUCGCUUAAAUUUUUGUUACUGCAAGCAACUUACUGUAAUAGAUUUUCGCUGUUGGUUACUGAAACUAAUGGAGAUGUAAUUAAAUCAAAAUAAAUAACUAAUGUGUCGAAAACUCGCCUCGAUUUUUCGGUGUUCCUGCAUAUAGCACAGCACUGUUUUGAUUUCGGCUUCUGUCCAUUUUUUACCUUCUUUUCUCGCCGACGCUUUCGUUUUUCUGUAGACACUAAAAUUGGAGUAUAAAUAAAUGACAAAAAAUGUAUAUUUAUUUUGUACUUUGUGAUUCUUACUUACUUUGAUGAUUUUUGUUGAGUUAAAGUGGCUGUUAAUUUUUAUUUGCUGAUUUAAUUCUGUUAUAGAAUUAUGUAAGUUAGGAUCGACUGUGUUAAGGUGGUUGAUGAUAUUCUUGGUCAGUAUUAUCCAUUGUACCAAAAAGAUAUUUACAUGCAUUGCCUACUAUGUUUAUUAGUCCUCUUUUUUGUCUACUUAUUGGUGGUAUUGUUUUUAGUUUACUUAUGAGUGUAUCUGCUUGAUUUAUUAUAUAAUUUCUUUGACUUUCACUAAAAAUAUGUUAUCUAUGUUAUCUUUCAUUGAUGCGAGUAGAUUUUUUUGUUUCUUGAAUAUCUACUUUAUGUAAAAUUAAAUCGGAUUCUAUCGGUAUGCUUUGAUUAUUAUUAUAAAUUUCUAUGUAUCCGUUAGUUUGUGUUAUUUUUUUUAGUGAUUAAAUUACCUCUUACUCCUACUAAAGAUGAUGAGAUUAAUAAUAAUAUCCACAUUAUUAUUUUUAUAUUUCUGCAUUUGUUAAAGAUGUCGCCAUAUGUUGUCUUUGGUCUUCCUUGUUGUAUUAAUUUAGUUUUAAUUUCCUGCCAUGUUGGGUUGUCGCCUAGUUCUUGUAUGUGUCUUCCUGCAUCUCCCAGGAUCUUUUCGUUAGCUAUCAUUGUCAUCGCCAGGUUUAUCAAUUGUUGGUUGUUUUGUGGACAUAAGUUGAUGAUGGCUUCCACUGAUUUUAUAAACGCUAUUAUAUUAUGCCCCUCGUCCAAACACCUCAACUGUCUAAAUUGUUGUAACAGCUCUUUCGUGUUUAAUAAUGAUUGAGGUUGCAUUUGAUUUGCAACCUCAUUUUGUUAAUGGCUUCUUCUUGUUGAGUAAUCAUCUGAGCCAUUUGUUGUUCCUGCUCGGUUAGUUCUCCUCCGUUUCCUAAAUCUCGGUUGACAUCAAAUCGACUCAUUUUGAACUUUUUAUUAUUUUAUUCACUUUCGCGAUAGGUAAACUUUUAUUGUAUUUCUUAAGAAACACAACUCCGUGACUGCGCCAAUUAUAUGUUUUAUGAAAGGAAAGAUCAUAAAUUUUUUAUUUUUAAAAAUAAAAUUGUAUGUCUUUAUUCUUUCAAGUUGGUCUUAAGACUAAUUUUACAAUAAUUUCAUUAAUAAAAUGAAACCUUCAAUAUUGAUUGAAUUAAGUAAAUGUAAACAAAAUUAUAUAUGUAAUUUUUUAAUACUUUUCCAAGUAUGAAAUUCGGUGCAUUGACAUAUACAUAUGUGGCUUAAGUACUUUUUUUAAGGGAACGUACAAAUAAUUCAUACAUAAUUGGUUAUUACUUAAUUUUUUAAUGCUGUCAAAUUGAUAUUCGUUUUCCGAUUCCAAUAUUUCAAGUAUGUAAAUACUUUCGUUUCCUUUGGCUUUGAUAUACUCUUUAAUUUCUUAUUCCUGGUUGUGGAAUACUUCUGUGUCAAAAAUAAUCGUUUCAUUAAUAUGGAUUAAAUCCAAUCCUUCAAUUGAUUUUUCGUUUACAAUAUGUUUUCCAUGUAAUACUAUCCUAAAUCUAUGAUUUUCUUGGAUAACAUCACAAUAGGCUUUAUAACCUUCGAUCAUUGGUAUUGUACAAUUGUCAUUAGGUUCUUGUUUACAAAUAUAUUUACUUAAAUUAUUUAUAUUUAUGUAUAUGUUAAUAUUAUUUUAUCUUCACAUUUACUUACGAUUUUAUUCAUAUCCAAAAUGCCUUGACUGGGAAGUAUUAAAAAAAUUUAAUCCGUUCCGCUACGCGCGGUAGAAAUAAAACACAAGUGUUGGUUUGAGUGCGAUAAUAUAUGGUGCGCUUCGAUCAUCAAGAUGAUCUCUCAAUACGCUUGCCGAUUAUCCACUGGUCUUUAUUAGUAACAUCACUUAUAUUUAUAUUCUUAUAAUUCUAUGCUUAUUACUAAAGAUGCUUUGGCAUUACAUUAAGUGAUGAAAUGCCAGAGCAUUGGAUUUCCAAUUAUUCUCAUUAUCAAAACAAAUAAUGGAAUAUUGAAUUUUGCUUACUUAUCAAAAAAAGUGAUGUAUUGAUUUCUUAUUAAUUAAAGUAUUCUGCUGACCAAGCAGUAAUACUGUGAGAAGAUACAAUUUGUUUACAUUUAUCAUUAAGUAUCUGUGUGGCUGCUGCCGUUAACUCCCCCCUCUCUAAGAUGAAUCGUCCCCGAUUCAGUAUCAUUUUUUGAUAUAUUGUAAAUGCUCUCUAAAAUAGCAUUAUAUGACAAUUCUUGAAAUUUUAAUUUUUUGCUUUGCUUAUUGGUUUUAUAUAAUUUUUUUAAUUUUAAAAUCUUAUAGAUUAUGUAUAUUGUUAUUAAUAGUACAAGUAUUACAAUUAUGUACCAGAAAAGUGAAUGAUUUUUAAAUUCUUUAAUUCGUUCACUCAAAAUAUUUAUGUUUUCAAAUUAUAUUCUUUAUUCUGUGUUUCCAUAUAUAUAGGCGGUUAUAUUUAAUUAAAAGCGUUAAUUUAUUUAUUUCUAUUUACUUUUCAGUUUCACAAAUUAUUGAAUAUUUACUAAGCACCGCACUUUACGUUUAGUUACAUUACAUCAAUUCAUCUUACGGGCACAGAUUCGACUAAAUUUGAAUUUGCUGUUCCUCUUUUAUGAACGUACAACAGUGACUUCACAUAAGCACUUAUAAAUUUAAUCAAAUUAUGAUUUUGGUGUAAAAAGCAAGAGUUAUAGGUAUAAAUGAAAUGAUAUAAACGCCAUAGUUCGGGCGACUGGAGCUCAUCUCAACAUCCUGCCCCCCCUAGGCGAGUACUAGCCUAGUAGACGCUGUAGUGCCUGUAACGUAGCUACAACGCCGCUCAGGCCGGUGGGGCGGUGAGGUUGUGGCCUUAUUUGGCUGCGCGAGUUGUGGUUAUUGAACCCGUGUUUUAAUACUAGAUUAACUUAUUGACCGAUGAAUACUGAACUUUAGUUCAAAUAUUCUUAUUAACACUAAACUUCAGUUUAGUGAAUCGCUAAGAGAAAACCACGACUUGUCGGAUUAACCGUCAGAAUUCUUCUGUUCAUUUAUUUCCAAUAUUUUCUUAAGCUAAGUUCUAUUUUCUGAUACAAAAUACAUUAUUUCUUUUCUUAUUAUUAUUUUGGCGCAACCACUUGUAGUUGCGACAAUAUUUGUCAAGUGGCCUACUUCUCACAUUACAUCAAUUGCAUUCCCUCAAAUAUUUAUGUUGCACUAUUUAUUGUGACGUUAAUUGCUAUCGCAAUAUUCGUUUGAACAUAUUAAAUGUGCAGCGGAAAUGCAAUGUGAUCCAAUGUAAGUGCCCUGGUUUGUUUCGAAAUAUGAUAUGCAUAUUUCGUGUGGUCGCAAUAUUGUUGCGGUAACAAAAAAGGGAUAAUAUUUAAGUAGACCAGUUAAUUCUAAGUGUUUUGGGGUAGGUUGUUAACGUUGACGUCGGCAUUAUGCAGUUCUUAUGAAUUGCAGUUGCAUUCAUAUCGGUCAUGCCGAUAGUGGUUGGCAUCGACGUCGACGUAACUCGCGCGCAGCAAUUACAAAUUCAAAAUAUUUUAUAAACGUAUAAAUACAAAAUAUAUACUUAUGUGACUACUUUAUAAAAAACUUUAAAUUUAAUUAUUUAAUGAAAAUUAUUUUACAGUAUUUCAUUAAGUUAAAGACUAACUACUCUUAGUAACUUAUCUGUACAAUGAACUCCAACGCUUAACGCCACCUCUGCUUGGUCUAAGUCCCUCGUAGUUACCACGUUGUCUGGAUUUAUUUGGCCGCCACUGUACGCACUUGUUGCCUUCACAUAUGCAGCCACCCCUGUUGUAUACUCUGCUUCGCGCAGAUUUUGCAGCCACCACUGCUUAACACUUCUGAGUCGCACUCAGAUUACUCAAACUGAAGUUCUCUGUUACCACUGCUUUGCGCUGUUCGGAUCGCAAGCAGACUUUGCAGCCACCACUGCUUAACACUUCUAAGUCGCACUCAGAUUACUCAAACUGAAGUUCUCUGUCACCACUGCAUUGCGCUGAUCGGAUCGCAAGCAGACUUUGCAGCCACCACUGCUUAACACUUCUGAGUCGCACUCAGAUUACUCAAAAUGAAGUUCUCUGUUUUGCUGCUUCGCACUGUUCGAGUCGCGCGCAGCUUUUAUGAAACGAAUUUUCUGUCACUCUGCUUUGCGCUCUUCGAAUCGCACUCAGAUUUUAUAAAAACGAAUUUUCUGUCACCACUUGCUUUGCGUUUGUCUGAGUCGCACUCAGAUUUUAUAAAACGAAUUUUUUGCUUUGCAUUUGUCUGAGUCGCACUCAGAUUUUAUAAAACGAAUUUUCUGCCGCCACUGCUUUGCGUUUGUCUUACUUUAUAGCGGUACUUAAAUAACGGUUGUAACGGUCCACUGCGCGUCUGUAUAGUUUUCCAGAAAUUUCGGAACUUCUAAGGACUGUACUUUUCACCAUGUGCUUGCACAACCGUUAGUCUUUGACGUACUUUUUAACACAAUUUUUAACGCAAUUACAGUUUUCCUUCAAAAGGAAAAACCCGCACUUUCCACUUCUGACACCAAUUUGUGGGGUUCGCUACCCUCUUUAGUCCACUAUGUUCAAAAUAAUACGCUCUUUUAGUUUGAAAAUUCAUUAAUUAAUUAAAACACUUAAUCGUUAGCGGGUUUUUUUUACAUCUUAGUUUAAACACUUCUUAUUAGUACUUUUCUUUAAUUAUCAAAUAUUACUUCUUAACUUUUUAAUUGAAACACUUCUUAUUAACACUCUUCAAUAAUACAACGUUAUUUCUUUUCUUUGCCGCGCACGUCCGUUUGUUCGGUUUAGUGACCGGUGACUUCUAACUUCCGCGCACGUCCGUUCGGUUUGGUGACUCGUAUCUGACUCAAACUCCUUCUGCUCCUCGCAGUCGGAGCAACCCACGCUAUAUCGUUUCUAUGUUGUCCCUUUUCCUAUUUUUCCCUUUCUGCCAGGGAUGCCAUCCCACAUAAAUGUUUCCAGAAUUGAAAGGUGUAUGCCUAACUUGUGGGAAAUUAUUAUUUUGUGAAGUAUAAUGUUGUUUGCUGUAUUCAUUAAAAAAUGGUUUAUUUUUAUAAUAAUUAUUUUGAUUGGACAAUGGAUAAUUUUUUGAAAAAUUGUUGUAAUUGGAAUGGACUGGAAAUUGAUUCGUAUUGGUUGCAAAAUAUUCUAUAUUACUAUUAUUAUUGUUAUUCAUAUAAUUAGAUAGUUUCGAAUUUGCAUUAGUUUUUUGAAUUGUUUUUUGUUUAGAAAAUUGUUUAUUAUUUUCAUAAACAUCAUUUUCUUUUAAUAUUUUGAUUGCUGACUUAAGGUCGGUAGCAAGAUUAGCGUUUAUUAACGCAGUUAAAUAGUUUGGCAAUUCUCUUUUUAAUGUUUUCAAACUUAUCUGAUCUAAUUCAUUAUAAAAAAAUAUUUUAGUUGAGCAACUUUCAUUUUUUAGUUUGAUAACAUCCUUUACUUUACAAACUUCUAAAUUAAUCUCUUCGCAUAGUAGCUUAACAUUAUUUUUAAAUUUAAUAUUGCUUAUUUCUAGGAUUAGUGUUGAAACUGCCGUGUGUUCUCCGAAUUCAUCUAUAAGUAACUGCCUCAGCGUCGUCCAAUCUGGUGGCUGCUCUCGCCUAACCACAUCCAAUGCAGCGCUUCUGAGUACUUUUAUGACACAAUGUAGAUAGAAUACCUUCGUCUCUUCUGAUAUAACAGGGGACUGUGGCAUGAUCGCGUCGACCCCUUGAAUGAAGAGUGCCAAGUAGUUUCGAUCACCAUCAAAUGGUUGAAUAAGUUUGAUGUUUUGGAUCGCCACAUCUCUGGUUUCUCGCUCCAUUUUGUUGUUUGCGUCUUUAAUUUUAAUAGAUUUCAAAAUCUGGCUUAUUUCGUCCACUUCUUCUUCCCUAAACUGUCUGUUUUGUUUUUAUUCACCUUCGUUUUUUAUGUUGCCUUUGGACUUUUGCUUUUGUUUCGCCAAAUAGCUAAUCGCACUUAUUUUAUUUAUUUUUAAUUAAAUUUUUUUUUUUUAUAUACUGUAUAUAUUUUUAUUUUAACGUAUUGUAAUAUUUUUGUUCCACUGUUCCAUCAUUACUUAGUUCGUUUUGUUUGUUACGAUAAUUUUUCUUCACUUUUCACGUUUCUCGAUUACGCCGGCUAUACACUCUUUAUGUUAAGCAAUUUAGUUUUAUUCAUUACGAUAUUUUUUCUUGUUUCUCUUCGCUUCGACAGCCCACUAUAUGUUUUUGUUCCUUACGAUAUUUUUUCUUCACUUUUCACGUUUCUCGUUUACGUUCUCUUCGCUUCGACAGCCCACUAUACGUUUUUGUUCCUUACGAUAUUUUUUUCUUCACUUUUCACGUUUUUCGUUUACGCUGGCUAUACACUCUUUAUGUUAAGCAAUUUAGUUUUAUUCCUUACGAUAUUUUUUUCUUCACUUUUCACGUUUUUCGUUUACGCUGGCUAUACACUCUGUUGUCUAUACACUCUCUAUGUUAAACAAUUUAGUUUUAUUUGUUGCAAUAAUUUUUUCUUUUUCUUCGCUUCGGCGUUCUUUAACUGCACGUUGUUUUAGAGUUACCGAAUGUUUAUUUUACGAUGUUAAAGUUUUGAUCUUUUUAUUUUAUACGAUAAAAAUUCUUUUCCACAAUGUUAAACGAUAUCUUUCACUUUUCCACUUCCACGUGCUUUCGCCACCACGUUGUUUUGAGUUACCGAAUGUACGAUGUAGGGUUACGGUGUUGAAUUUUGGAUCUUAUCUUCCUUUUUGUUUUAAACGAUAUGUAAUUUUUGAAGAAUAUUAUUUUAAUUUUUCCUUUUCCUCUUUUUGAAUUUUGAUAGUAUACAAAAAAAAAAUGUUCUUAAUAUUAGCAAACUGCCCCUGCACGAUACGAUACGAAUUUAAAACAAAAGGUACAGCAGCCCGACACGUGUUUUAAAGUACCUGUGUGGGUUUUUUAUUUCGCUGAUUUGAGACGAAUAGGCUCUUUUUAUUUAGGAUCUUUUGCGCAGAUCCUACCGACUGCGCCAGUAAUAUUUUUAUAAUAAUUAUUUGGUUUUUUAUUAAUUAAUAUUCUGUAACAAUUAAUAGUUUUAUUAAACGACACUUAUAUAUAUAACGCAACGAAUUAAGUUAUUUGUUUCUUAUUGAACCUUCGGGUUGGAAAGAUGAAAAAUGAGUGUGGCGUGACAAACGCCAAUGGUGCCGCUUAAUGUGCGAGACCGCUUUUAAUGGCGAAAGUGCUGAAUUGAAGCACGUUGGCAAUGUUGCAUUCGAGACUUUUGCUGACUAAAGUCUCCAAUGCGACAUUAGGAUAUGUCACUUCCGCAUUUUUCAGCGUAUGGUCUCAGAAUGUCAUCUACACAUCUUUGAAAUGUGGCUGGAGAGUUCUUUAGGCCGAAGGGUAGGCGAAGGAAUUCAUACUUUGCCCCAUUGACUGAAAAUACAGUCUUUUCCCUAUCUUCUGGUUUGAUCAUAAUUUGAUGAAAGCCAGAUUCUAAAUCUAAAGUUGUAAAGUAUCUUGCUUUACCUAAAUUUUAUAAUGUCAUAGUUAUAUCUGGAAUAGGACAUCUGUCCGCUAUGGUUUAUUUAUUUAAUUUUUGAAAAUCUAUAACCAUACCACAUUCGUACCCAACUGAAAAUUGGGUAUUAUGUGUUAACUUAUAUAUUCUGUCCCCUGAAUGGUUUCACGUUUCCCAUUAGAGUUGGGGCCAGUUUUCUACAGUUUCUAUACUCAUGGCAGUCUCCGCUGAAAUUGUUUAUUGCUGACUUGAAGAGUCCUAAAGAGUCCAGACCCUUCUUUUGGGUCUGAGUAUGUGCAGACUUCGUGCUGUGCUUCUUCCACUGGUGCAACGGUUAUUUCAGCUUGGAUUUAAGUGCCUGGAUUUUCGCUUGUGCCUGUGCCAUUUUUAGAAAAUUUCUUCUGUUGGACUACUUUUAAUAAACUUGAAUUUUGUUUUGAAUUCGUCGUUAUUUAAGUCGCGAAGGAUUUUAUUCACUGAAUCCUUUUGUUGACAGGUCCCUGCUCGGGCGCCAAUUAAGAAUAUUCUUUAGUUAUUCUAUAAAAAUAUAUUUCUCUUGGAUUCCUCCAAGGUUUCUUUAUUCAAAUAUAUGUAUAUAAGUUUACACCAUGAACAAUAAUAUACUACUGGCUAUGCCUACGAUUAUAUUUAAACUGAGAACAAGAGUUGUAUGCACGUCACUCUUUUAUAGUAGUGCAGUCAACUCGUGUCGACUUCUGAUUGGCUAAUUCCGGUGGCGUGAUUUCUUGGAUAACGUCAUGCUUGUUUACUAAAAAAAGAUUGGACUUCUUGACCUUACAAAAUUGACCAGCUUUAAAAAUUCAUAUUAAAAUAAUGUUAAUACUUUUAAUAGCGAGAAAAUAAUAUUAUAAUAGGAAAAUAGUACAUGAAUAUAAAUUUCUACAGAAAUAAUUAAAAUAAAUGGUCAGUUUUGAAAAAAAUAAUAUUUACUAUGGUGUCCUAUAAAUAGGACAGUGGCAAGGAAUGGGCUAAUAAUAAUAUUUCAGUUUAGCUUGCGUAAUAAUAUUCACUUUUUUCGCAUAAAAUUCUGAUAACUUUUAUGUUAAUCAAUUCGGUCGCAAUAUCCUCUUUAUAUUUUUGUAUAAAAUAUUAAUAUCUUUUAUGUUAAAUGAAUUUUAUUACAAUAUCCGCAUUUAACUUUAACAUAAAAAUGUAAGUUAUUCGGAUUUUAUUAUAAAUUUCUCUUGGAAUAUCUCACGUAAAAAUUUUAAAAUCUUAUUUUCAUUGACAAAAUUUUGUUGCGAUAUUUGCCAUACAUUUUCACAAAAAUUUCACUACAACUUAUUUUAUGUUAGUGAAGAAAUAUACAAUUGUAUUUAAAAAGACUUAGCUGUUUCUUCGAUGAAAUGUAACGCCAUCUCUGUAUAGUAUUCCCUCCGUUACGGCUGCUGUUGAUGCUUCUGUUACUACCGCUACUAUACGACGAAUUUCUCUCCUUCUAAGUUAGUUACUGUUAGUCCUUUUAUCUGAAGGAACCGUUGAAUUAAUAUUAUUAGUGUCAAUAUUUCUGACGUUGGCUUUGUGUAUGACCCUCCCUUUGGUCGUUAAAACUGUGUCCUCACGGUUCUGUUUGUGAAAGAUAUUCAUUUUUACGGAUGUGCCUGCAAAGCUUGGUGUAGGUGUCUGAACAUUCAUAGGCCGGUGGAAAGCUACACUCCCUGAAGUCAGCUGCCAGCUGCACUGCAGUUUCCUGUUUUUAUCGGCUUAAGAAUGCUGACUCGGGCCAGCGCAACUUUUGCCGUAACAUUUGCCUGUUAAACAGUCUUAUGCCUCCUUACAUACACUUUUUUUAUGAAAAAACUUUAUAUGUUAAGGGUAAUAAAUUUUUUCUGUUAUCCCGGUUGAGCCCCCAGUUUGGUUUACCAAUAGUAGUAAAACGUGUGUUGAAAAAUAAACAACUUUAUAUGUUUAAAUCCGGUUCUUUAAAAAGGGUCAAUUAUAUAUUUUAAUGGUUUUAAAUUUUUUCUGUUAUCCCGGUCGAGCCCCCAAUUGGGUUUACCUAUAGUAGAAAGAACGUGUAUUAAAAACUAACACAUAAUUUCAAACAAACCUCCUUCAUUAAGGGUAAUUAAUUUUUUCUGUUAUCCCGGUUGAGCCCCCAGUUUGGUUUACCAAUAGUAGUAAAACGUGUGUUGAAAAAUAAACAACUUUAUAUGUUUAAAUCCGGUUCUUUAAAAAGGGUCAAUUAUAUAUUUUAAUGGUUUUAAAUUUUUUCUGUUAUCCCGGUCGAGCCCCCAAUUGGGUUUACCUAUAGUAGAAAGAACGUGUAUUAAAAACUAACACAUAAUUUCAAACAAACCUCCUUCAUUAAGGGUAAUUAAUUUUUUCUGUUAUCCCGGUUGAGCCCCCAGUUUGGUUUACCAAUAGUAGUAAAACGUGUGUUGAAAAAUAAACAACUUUAUAUGUUUAAAUCCGGUUCUUUAAAAAGGGUCAAUUAGAUAUUUUAAUGGUUUUAAAUUUUUUCUGUUAUCCCGGUCGAGCCCCCAAUUGGGUUUACCUAUAGUAGAAAGAACGUGUAUUAAAAACUAACACAUAAUUUCAAACAAACCUCCUUCAUUAAGGGUAAUUAAUUUUUUCUGUUAUCCCGGUUGAGCCCCCAGUUUGGUUUACCAAUAGUAGUAAAACGUGUGUUGAAAAAUAAACAACUUUAUAUGUUUAAAUCCGGUUCUUUAAAAAGGGUCAAUUAUAUAUUUUAAUGGUUUUAAAUUUUUUCUGUUAUCCCGGUUGAGCCCCCAGUUUGGUUUACCAAUAGUAGUAAAACGUGUGUUGAAAAAUAAACAACUUUAUAUGUUUAAAUCCGGUUCUUUAAAAAGGGUCAAUUAUAUAUUUUAAUGGUUUUAAAUUUUUUCUGUUAUCCCGGUCGAGCCCCCAAUUGGGUUUACCUAUAGUAGAAAGAACGUGUAUUAAAAACUAACACAUAAUUUCAAACAAACCUCCUUCAUUAAGGGUAAUUAAUUUUUUCUGUUAUCCCGGUUGAGCCCCCAGUUUGGUUUACCAAUAGUAGAAAAACGUGUGUUGAAAAAUAAACAUCUUUAUUUGUUUAAAUUCCUUAAAAAGGGUCAAUUAUAUACUUUAAUGGUUAUAAAUGUUUUCUGUUAUCCCGGUCGAGCCCCCAGUUGGGUUUACUAAUAGUGCAAAGAACAAGUGUUAAUAACUUACAAGUAAUAUUUUUGUAACAAAAAUAUUUUUUACUUGAAUAUCUUUGUAUCAAAUGACAAUUUUAUUAAACAACACCUUGAGUAAUACGAUCAAUUAGGACUUUACGAGUGGGAUGACGAAAUCAGAGUGGCGUGACAAACGCGAUUUAGCAAAUCCCCGCUUUCAAUGGCGAGAAUGCUGAAUUGAAGCACGUUGGCAAUGUUGCAUUCGAUGCUUUUGCUGACAAAAGUCUCCAAUGCAACAUUAGGAUAUGUCACUCUUCCCAUCUUAAAAUAAUGCAAUGUCCUCGUUGCAAUUUUUCUUUGUUUACAAUUUAAAGUUUUUAAAUAGAAUUCUUACAAUAUUUAAAGAUAUUUAUUCAUAAAAAUGAAUAAGUAAAAAGGAAUGAUAAGAUUGAUAAGAUACAAUUUUCAAUUCUUAGAUUUAGUUUUAGUUGGUUUUCUUUUUUCUUUUAAAUUGUAUUUUCUUACAUUUUUACUUUUAAAUUUUACAAUAUGAUGUCCGCCAUCUUCUUCAGUUUUAAUAAGACUAACUUUUUUGUAUGGAUUACUAAGUUUAUCUAAUCUCUUCCUCGAAACUUCUGCGUUUACAAAGUUUGUGUCAAUAUCUUUUUCUUAACGGUUUUUAUUUGCAUUAUUUAUUCUUUAAUAAUUUGAGGAUAAUGUUUUAGUGACUCUUUAUUAAAAAAUAUUAUAUAUGGAACUUCAUUGGAAUUGUAUGUAUGUAUUUAUGUUCUUAUAAAUAUUUGCAUGCAUCCCGAAUCGCCAGUGGCGAACGCAGGAAAAAAAUUUGGGGGUUUUAGGUAAAAAGACAAUGUUUCAUUAUUUUAUUCACAAAUUGAAGUCUAAUCUUCUUUUAUUUUGGGCCAUAACAUUUAAAAUCUCUUCCUCCGUCACGUCUAAUCUCUACGGAAGAGAGCCAUUCCGUUCAGGCGUGCUUCUCCAGUUUUAUUUCUUAAAUAUGUUUUAAGCCUGCGAAGUGAGGAAAACGAGCGUUCACUUGAAGCGACAGAUAUAGGGAUUGUUGCUCCAAUCUUUAAAAAGCGAUGCACUGUUUUGAAAAUUUUUGCAUCGCAACAAUUCAACGCGUCUAAAAAAGUUUUUGAUCUCUUUGUUUGAUUUAACUAGUUCCUGAAAAUAUAUUCAAAAUUUUAGUUAGAAAAUAUAAUCUGAAGAAAAGAUUUUUACCCUUUUCCACAUUCUAAAUUCAGCAACGAAAUCAUCGGGAUCUUCUACAUCAGCGGACCAUUGCUUUUCUAAAACACGAACAGUCUCCUGCAUCUCAAUAACGUCAAGAUUUAUGCAUUUAUUUGGCAAAAUGUUUUCAAUUUCGGAAAGCAGCUCUCGAUGUUUUAAAAAUCGUUCAUUGGUUUGGUCCAAAAAAUGAUCUAAAAACGGUAUAUAAAUUGAUCUGUGGUGAUAUUCUUCCGGUUCGCCUUCACAAUUGUCGCGAUUAGUUUACCGUUUCGCCAAACGCGGAAUUUUGAUUUCUAAAUCUAAUUCUGCGGCUAUUGUUUUAACUGAUUCAUAAAUUAGUUUAAACGAUUGUUCAGAAUCCUUACGCAUUUCACUAAUUUCAGCAUACAAAUUAUUUGCAUAAGCAACGCAGCUGCUGAAAUCACAGUCUAUUUGCUGCAAACAUAGGCUUAUGUGUUUUGAUAAUGCAAAAAUUGGCUUUAGUAUCGCCAUAGCAAUCACAAAGGUUUCUUCACAACACACGUCAUUCUUCUUCUACUUCUUCUUCUUCUGUUGUGCUGCCAUAUCGUCGCAUUUCCACAAAAUAGCUGUGUUAUUCAUAUUAUGAUCUCCAUUUCGAAGAAGUCUUUAUAAAAAACAUUUUACUUGCACAUUAAACUUAUAAUUUCAACAAAAAAGUUGUAUAACAUAACUCAUUUCUACGUUCUUCAACUUAUUAGAGAUAUGUACUUUAAUUGAAUUUUUGACAUUAGUAAUAAUUUGCCAGCAAUUGACACAAAAGUUAGACAACCUAAUUCUAUUUUAUUUUAUACAAUUUUAUUUUAUAAACUCCAUAAAUCCAGCUCUUUUUAUAUGUAUUUCUUGAACAUAUUAUUAUAAAUCAUAAGGCUGUCAAGUAAAUGGGUUGAUAACGUUUCUCGAAGAAUCUUAUUUUAUUCCAAUUUUAUAGAAAACUAAUAUUAUUAUAAUGAACGCAAUUAAUGCAAAAGCAAAUUUUAUGCUAACCCUUAAACGCCUAGCGGUUUCUCCCGGCACCUGAUGGUUCCUCAAGGGACCAUUUAAGUUUUAUUUCAUAAAUAUUUGCAGACGUCUUAAACUUAAUGAAUUAAACUGCAGGGUUUACAAAUUACUAUGGUUAUACAAGCAAAUAUAUAGUUAUUUAUGGAUAAUACUAAGAAAUUUGUACAUCAAUAUCGACUAAGCAGCGUGAGCGGCCAUGAAUUUAAGACAAAAAGUAAAAACAAACAGAAAACUAACAUGAAUAUAUUAAAUUAGAUUAGUUAAAAAAAUAAAUAAAUUGUAAAGCUUUCAGUUGAUAAAUUUGAAUACAAAAUGUUUAUAAAAAGGACAGAUAUUGCAUGUACAUAUAUAUAUACAUAAAUAUAUGUAUAUACAUGUCUGCAUAUAUGAGGGUGUUUGUUAUUUCCCAAACGUUCUGAUUUUGCCCUUUUUAUUGUCAAUUGAAACCGAGCCUGAAUCAUAUUACUUUUUCCAUACAUAUAACAUAGUAUAUUUUUUGACAUUUUGCAACAAACAAACAAAGCUGAGAAGUAAUGCUCUAAUACCAAAAAGGUUUUAAUGUUUUUUCCAUAAAGAGAUUCCUUUAAAAGUUAUACACACUCAAUAUUAUACAUUAAAUGACCUGAGCAAUCACAGAAGUGAUUUCCACAUUAUGCGUUGCUCAUCCGACGUGGUGUACCAAGUAUAUGAUUUUUAAUUUUGUAAUAGAAUAUCAUGCUUUUAAAGUUAAAGGUUUGUUUGAUUUGGAGAUAAAAUUAUUAAAAAAUAAUAAAAAUGCAUUGGAAAAGUAAGAAGGCGUUUGCAAAAAAACAAAACCAGAGUGCUUAAAAAACAUGAGCUUGGUAAAUAACAUAUGUACAUCCUAAUGUAUAUAUACUAUAUAUGAACUUACGUAUUGUCUACACUUGAGCCCAAAAAAAUGACCGGGCUAGGUAGCCUAAGGUCAAUGCUGUAAAUGUUUUUUAAUAAAACGCGAGAAUUUACUGGGCACCCGUCCGUUUAUUUCAUUCAUCAGCUUAAGACUAAAUUGUACUGAUAAGUUUAAGAGAGAGAAUGGCAAGCUUUGAUUUGACAACGAUCAUGCGCGUAUAGAAAACUUUAUUUAAAGCUAAUCAGUUAUAAUACGAAAAUUAUUUAAAAUUUAUUAUAGAAAAUCUUUUAACAUUUUAUUGAAAAUUUUAAUAUACGAAAAUGAACUCUGUGUAUCUAAGAAAGUAACUUCACAUCGGACUUUUUAAAGGCUUUGGGCUUUCAAUGCUUUACUCAGCUAUUAAAAUUGAAAACUAUUUGAAAUCAAAGCUCGCAAAGUUCUUGUUCUUAACGACAUAGCAUCUAAAACCUUAACAAUACAGUACCUACUUAUUUCCAUAACUAGACUUAAGUAAAUUUUCCAAACAACCACACAAAUGUAUAAAAUAAUUGACGAACAUUGAGCGAGAAGUUUAAAAAAAAAAAUCAAGUGAAUUGCUUCCGAUCUGUUAAGUAACUAAACGGGUAUAUGUUUCUUUAUUUAACUUCCUUUUAUGCAUUAUUCUGUUAUUUACUCAAAGUGGCAAUUACAUUUCUAGCUUAUUAAACAUAUUUCAGAACAAGAAAAUUGUUGUGAUAACUUACAAAUAUUUUGUAUAUUUAAUGUAAUAUAUAUACUAUUAUUAGAUUACUUUUUGUGCAAUUUUAAAUACUGAAACAUCAAUAAAAUCUGACAAAUUAAUUA